rnacentral:rRNA from 1 species
GACAGAGGCCUCGAGCGUUAGGCGGAAUCACUGGGCUUAAAGCGUGUGUAGGCGGAUCGUUAAGUACCUUGUGAAAUCCCACAGCUCAACCGUGGAACGGCUGGGUAUACUGGCGGUCUUGGGCCAUUCAGGGGCGACUGGAACAAGCGGUGGAGCGGUGAAAUGCGUAGAUAUCGCUUGGAACGCCGAAGGUGAAAACAGGUCGCUGGGGAUGUGCCGACGCUGAGACACGAAAGCCAGGGGAGCAAACGGG